UCGAGAAUCUUCGGCAAUGGGCGCAAGCCUGACCGAGCGACGCCGCGUGGAGGACGAAGGCCUUCGGGUUGUAAACUCCUGUCGAGGGGGAAGAAGGCCCCGCAAGGGGCUUGACUGAUCCCUGGAGGAAGCACGGGCUAAGUUCGUGCCAGCAGCCGCGGUAAGACGAACCGUGCGAACGUUAUUCGGAAUCACUGGGCUUAAAGCGCGUGUAGGCGGGACGGCACGUCGGUCGCUGAAAGCCCCCGGCUCAACCGGGGAACGGGCGCCGAUACGACCGUCCUGGAGGGACGUAGGGGGACCUGGAACUUCCGGUGGAGCGGUGAAAUGCGUUGAGAUCGGAAGGAACGCCCGUGGCGAAAGCGAGGUCCUGGACGUUUUCUGACGCUGAGACGCGAAAGCCAGGGGAGCGAACGGGAUUAGAUACCCCCGUAGUCC
rnacentral:rRNA from 1 species